UUUUCAAAUGUUUAGCUGGAAUCUGCUUUCUUGCAACUUGAAGCCAUUGGUUCUACUCUCCAGAUCAGGAGAAAACAAGCAUGCUCCCUCCUCCAGAUAUUUGAAGAUGGCUAUCAUAUCUCCUCUUAGUCUCCUCUUUUCCAGGCUGAACAUACCCAGCUCCUUGAA